CGCCGGCAGCCGGUAGCUCGUCAGGCUCAUAACCUGAAGGCCGCAGGUUCAAAUCCUGCCCCCGCAACCA
rnacentral:tRNA from 1 species